rnacentral:rRNA from 1 species
GAUCCUGGCUCAGGAUGAACGCUGGCGGCGUGCCUAACACAUGCAAGUCGAGCGAAGCGGUUUUAAGGAAGUUUUCGGAUGGAAUUAAAACUGACUGAGCGGCGGACGGGUGAGUAACGCGUGGGUAACCUGCCUCAUACAGGGGGAUAACAGUUAGAAAUGGCUGCUAAUACCGCAUAAGCACACAGCUUCGCAUGGAGCAGUGUGAAAAACUCCGGUGGUAUGAGAUGGACCCGCGU